GUUUCUCUCCGAUGACAGAAGAGAAGAGAGAUCACAAUAGCCCCUCCCUUCCCUCUCUUUCUCUUCUUCCUUGUUCUCCUUCAUCUGAGCAGCACCAUCGGAGCUCGCUGAAGCUUGCUGGAAAAAGGAGGGGAAGGAACCCUUGCUUUUGCCCUCUUUUGGCAACAAGAGAAGCAAGUUGUUGCUCUCUUUUCCAACCAAUCACAACUGCUGUCGGAGCUCCGCCGGAGCUAACUGUGGUCACGCCGAACUCGCUGAGGCUACGGGUAAAGAGAGAAAGAUCAUCCAUUGCCGUGCUCUUUUGUUUUCAGCCCUCCCUUCUCCUCCAAUAGCUUCAACAGCAGCCCUAGUUGCUGUCUUUUUCUUGGUAGCAUCGCCGGAGUUCACCGGAGUUUGCUGGAGCUAGCUGAGACGGCCAGCGACAAACCCUAGUUGUUGCCCUCUUCUUCCAGCAACCACAUUGAUCCAUAGAAGACACGAGCUCGAGUGGAGCACGGUGACCUGCCGACACCCGCAGAUUUUGCUGUAUAUAAGAUACGAGCUCGAGUGGAGCACGGUGACCUGCCGACACCCGCAGAUUUUGUUGUAUAUAAAUUUUGCAGACACAGGGAUCCUUUUGAUAUUAUAGUUGAUUUUGGACUUUCAUAGAGUUGCUCAGAGAUCUCGACAUGCUGAUUUUCUGGUUUGUUUUACUUUUGUUUCACUGUAUUUACAUUUUGAAAUUUUGUUACAGAUGUCGUUUAUCUGUAUAGUAAUUGUAGUUUACGAAAACUAUGACAUAUAUAUAAAUUUGAUACAUUUCGUGGUUAUGUUAUUUCUAUUUUAUGUAUGUUCCAGCCGUGUGAUCUGAUGAAUACAUUGUUUAGGUAUAUAUAUUGUGAUGUAUGUAUGUAUGCUUCAUAUUGUCACCGGUAUAUGGGAGA